CACCUUCUGGGGAGUAUUUCUAUGGGUUACAGCUUCAGAUAAGAAGGGGGCUAGCCAUGUCUGGGUCCAGAGUCACCUCCACGGGGGUGUGGUAUGGGAGAGAGAGCCUGAGUUACUGAGGAGGGACCUGGGCUGGGCCCAGAGGUUACCCGCUCCUACUGCAGACUGGCUCAGGGCAGGUCAAGUGAGGUCCCAGAGUCAGAAUCCCCACCAGACACUGCCCAUCCCCUCUCUCAUCUCCACUGCAGCCCUGGGGCCUCAACAAGGCCUGGAGAUGCCUAACCGUGAGGUCAUAACGCCUGUAUAUUGCCUCAGCCUACCACUGUCCCUCCACAUAAGCCCCUGUUUGACUUUGUGAGACUAGAGCGACCUCACUAUCCAUCUUCCUCUCACCCUCACUUCCUGCCCAACUUCACCUCCUUCCCCUUCAGCCCAGACUCCUGGCCAUAAUACCCUCAAUUCCCUGGAUCUUUGCCUGGGACCCCCGUCUUGGCUGGCACAGGCCCUGCCCUCUCCCUUCUAGAUCCUAUAUCAGUUACUGGUGAGCUCCCUCUCCUAUGUCCACCCAAGGCUCUGUCCCACUGUCACCCCCACAGUGGUUGGUACCUAUAUGUUUCUGGGCCUCUCUUGAUUCUGAAAACAAGCAAACAGAGGAGGCAGAUCAGUGCUCACAUGGAGAGCAGGAGUUGGUGUUCUUCAAUUUUGCAUGUGUUGACUUUGGAGGGUUGCACCAUGAAGACCAUUAUGUGGUGAAGGAAGCACUUAAUUCUUUUCCUCUGGAAUGUUAAACAAUUCUGUUUCCACCUAAUCAAAUGUUUAUGAUUUUAUUUUUUUUACCUCAUUGACCUUUGAAUUUCAAAACUAAUCAUUAAACUGAGCAAUCCUACACAACAAUCCUGAGACAGAGGCUCCCAUGCUCCCUCUGGGUGACCCAAGCUUCCACCCCACCCGUGCCCCUCCUCCGCGCACUCACCUCCUAUCCGUAUCCUGGAUCCCACCUCUCAACCUUAGUUGGGGAGCUGGCUGUGUUAGCGUCUACAAACAUAGGUUCUUUACCCGCCACACAAGAGGGGCCAAAUUAAAACUGGAACGCCAGGCUAUGGCAAGGGAAGAGUUUUUAUUUUGAAUGAUUCCAGUCAGGAGACAAGAGUGAGCCCUCAAAUUUGUCUUGUUUUAUCUCGUUUCCCCGAAAGAGGGGAGGCAAGGGGUUUUAAAGGUUUUUGAGGAAUGGGGCUCUUGUGUGUGUGUGUGUGUGUGUGUGUGGUGGGGAGUCAGUGGCCUUGUUGGUCUGAGCUUUCCUACCAGCCUGUGUUUGGCCUUGGGAGGCUGCUUGCAGGAAGGAGGAGGAGAUGAUAAGGAAGACAGGUGGGCGACCUUGGCUGUCUGUCUCCAUGGCAGAUGGUGGAUUCUGGAGCCAGGGAGCCAGCAGGGAAAGAGUGCUUUGGUUUUAACCCCAUACACACUGGGUCUAAUGUAGGGGAGCUGAUAUCAAGGCUGGCAUCAGAUGGAGCAUGAUGUGCUCCCAGCAUUUUCUUGGACUGUAAAGGAGGUCUCCCCAGCAAACAGGCUGUGUCUGUCUGUAUUCGCCUUUGAGUCUGAGAGCAAAUCAUGUCC
rnacentral:lncRNA from 1 species